rnacentral:rRNA from 1 species
GCACGGACCUCAGGUCAGGCGAGGCUACCCGCUGAGUUUAA